rnacentral:lncRNA from 1 species
UAACUGGUAAACACCUUUAUAAGGAUGAGUUUUAACUUUCCUUUUUUGCUUCUUAGGGAGACAGAGGUCCAGUUGGUUUCAAUGGGACUCGAGGAGAUAGGGGAUGUGCAGGUGACAGAGGCCGUAAGGGAUCUAGGGGUCAUCAGGGAAGUCAGGGUGAGCACGGUGAGAGUGGAUUUGAUGGCACUGAUGGAGAGCAGGUAAUCUUUGUUUGAAUCAUUAAUUAGCAAUUAGAGAAACUUAUUUC